UUUUAAGUAUGUAAUUAAUUAUAUAUAAAAUUCAUUAAGGGUUUUAAAUUUUAUAAUUAAAAAUAUGUUUUAAGAUAACAACAAAAUAUAUAUGAAUUAUCUUUUUAAAAAUUAAUAAUAAUAUUAUUAAUAGAAAUUCGUUUUUGAUUAUAUAGUUAAUUAAUAUAUAAAUUCAUCAAGGGUAAUAUAGAUAUUGACCGCUCUAACUUUUAAUGUGAGAGCUCUAUUGCUAAAAUUUACUUCGCAAAAUAAUAGUAUAGAUAGAUGUACCCACAAAUAUUAAUUAUAUAAUUUAUAGAUUACCAAAUAUUUUCAAAAAUACUAGUUAUAAUCUGAACUAUCCAAAAAGAUUUGAAUAUUUUUAUCUAGAAUAUUUAAACUAUCUGAAUAACCCGAAAGAACAUAAUAAUUACCUAAAUAUGUCUUUUAAAUAACCACCAUGUGUUCAAAAUUAAACAAAUACUUGUAAAAUUUUGUAUAAGGAGAGAGCUGAAUUAAAACAAUUACAUUUUGUAUUUGACUAACUAAUUGAAAUUUGAUAUUCUAUCCAAAAUGUAUAUUGGUAAAGAAAAUGUAGCAAAAAAGUAUUUGAUCCAAAAAUCAGUUUCUAUAUAAGCAAUAAUAUAGACAUGUUAAUGAUAAACAACAUAGAAAUUUAUAAGAUUGUCAAUAGUCAAUACAUGAGAAACUUAGAUAUCAUGAGAGUUAUUUUAAGAAUAGAUAUAUACAUGAAAUACAAAUGCAAACAAGACUUUAAAUACACCUUUAUUUAUUUUGUUUUAGAUCCUAAAAAAUUAAGUAUUCAUUAGUAUUCAACAAAUUUAAUUGACAGAGGUUGAGUCUGCAAGGCCCAUAAGUAACAAACAUAUGAAGAUACCGAAAAGAAGAGUCCAAAUAAUUUAAGGUAAUCCAAAUCAAAUACUAUCCAGCUUGAAGACAACGCCUGUAAAAAGAAAAAAAUCUAAGAGGAAGCGUAUAAGCGACGUGAGAAAUCAGGAAAUCAUUACCUACAUAAACUGAAACCUAAAGCUUUUAUAAUUUCAGUUUCUCAAAAUCGAAAUCGUUUGCUUCAUUUGAAGAUCAAGAAUGAAGAUUGGUGUUUCUGAGCCAGAGCGAUGCGGUUGCGACACGUGUGUCCAGCAUCGCACUUUCAUUACUCAAGAAACCGAACCGAGCAAAGUGAAUGGCUUAUCGGUUCUUGUUAGUUCCGGACUAUUUGAAGCUCUUGGUUCCACCUCAGAUCAGAGUUCCGGAACAGAGACUCCACCACUCGCUCCUCCUCCUCCUGAACUAGCGCAGUCUGUUGAUGAUGCUCAUGGCGAUGCAUCCUCGAAAUCAUCUCCAGUUCAAACCAUAUUCAGUUUCCCUCCUGUUGUUAGUUCCCAACCAGCGCGAGAUCUUGUUCCCACCGGUUCAUUGCCAGGUCCUUUUAUUGGUUUUCCAUCUCCCUUUCCUGCUUCCGGACCAUCUAUAUCCUCCUCGUCAAGCCAAGCUUCUGUCACCAACCUUGUCGGUUCUAGACUAUCUAGAUGGGAACCACCAGUGCAAGCUCCUCCUUUUAGUUCAACCGCUUCCACUUCCUCAACUUUAGCUUCAUUAGUUACUCCCUGGGGAUCAGUGCAAGCUCCUGUCCAAGCUAGUGCACCCAACACUGCUUCUGCUUUUCCUCCACCGUUUAGCUACCCUGGUGGUGGUGGUGGUUUAGCCAGACCUGGUCUCUCUCAAAUCGUUUCUUCACCGUUUGGACCAACACAUAACUUUGGAGUUUGCGCUUCAAGGACUACCCCAAAAGAUCCAUUCCCAGGAUUUAGUGUUGAUUACUUGCCCAGAGGUCCCUUUGGACCAAACCCACAAACUACUACACUACUGUCUGAUGGUGGAACUGAACAAGGUAGUAAGUAUCCUCGUUAUGCACCUACACCAGAUUUUGACUCUUCUGGAGGUCCAGCCAAGCUGGUGAUGUCCAUAUCUGCUUCCAACUCACAUGGACAUAAAAGUCAUGAAGAGUUGAGGUGGGAAGAUUACAAAAACGGAGACAAAAAAGGUGCGGUUGGGUCGUUUCCUCCUCAUGCUCACAAACCUCGUAAAGAAUCGAGGUGGGAAGAUUACAGAAAUGGAGACAAAGGUGGGUUUGAUCAUUCACCGUCGCUAUUUGCUCUUCCAAGCAUACCUCAUCGACGUCCUCAGAUGAGAACUAUUGUUCAACCGCACGGAGACAUGAGUAGUUUUCCUUUUGGCUACAACACCCCUACUGCUUUCCAGAGCCCACAUGAACUCGUUGGUGUUUCUUCCCCAGCAUCUGGAUGCACAGCGUGUGGAGCCACGAGUAGCUCCUCUCCUUUUAGUCACUUGGGCUUUAAUGUUGCUACAAAUCCUCCAUCAGCCGCGACAUCUCUUCCCGGGUUGUUCUUUUCCACCUAUGGUUCUUUUCCUUUGCUGUUUGCAACACCAAAUCUUUCAGCUUAUGGUACAACAGCAACUCCACCAGUCCCAGCCUAUGCUAUUAUGUUUGGAGCACCAAAUUUUACUUCUCAAGGUACAACAGCAACUCCAUCAGUUCAAGCCUAUCCUACCAUGUUUGGAACACCAAAUCUUGCUGCUCAAGGUACAACAGCAGCUCAGCCUUAUCCUACUAUGUUUGGAACACCAAGUCUUGCUGCUCAAGGUACGACAGCAGCUCAGUCUUAUCUUACUAUGUUUGGAACACCAAGUCUUGCUGCUCAAGCUACUACAACAACUCCAGCAGCUCAGCCCUAUCCUACGAUGUUUGGAACACCAAGUCUUGCUGCUCAAGGUACAACAACAACUCCAGCAGUUCAGCCCUAUCCUAUUAUUAUGUUUGGAACACCGAAUCUUGGAGCUCAAGGUAUAACUCCAGCAGCUCAAGCCUGUCCCGUUCAUGGUUUGACUCUUCUCCCAUUCGGCGCCAUGAGUCUGCAGUAAUCGCUCAUCGCUCUGCAUCGAAGUUGUGUCUUUUAUCUUUUAGUUCUUAGGUCUUUGUUUUUUUUUCCUUAAAGAGUCAUAAACCAAGUCUCGUCCCAACUUUAUGAUUUUCAGCUAAUCAUGGAUGUAAACAAGUCUCGUCAAACAUCAAGUAUUUUGAGUUUGUCAAUAAAAAGCUCUUUUUCCUUCUA